rnacentral:rRNA from 1 species
UACAGAGGGGGCAAGCGUUGUUCGGAAUUACUGGGCGUAAAGGGCGCGUAGGCGGCUUGUUAAGUCAGACGUGAAAUCCCUCGGCUCAACCGGGGAACUGCGUCUGAUACUGGCGGGCUUGAAUUCGGGAGAGGGAUGUGGAAUUCCAGGUGUAGCGGUGAAAUGCGUAGAUAUCUGGAGGAAUACCGGUGGCGAAGGCGGCAUCCUGGACCAUAACUGACGCUGAGGCGCGAAAGCUAGGGGAGCAAACGGG